ensembl:lncRNA
AAAUUGCUUCUUCUUCCCCCAGUACCAGCAGUCAUUGCAAAGCUACAUUUUUGAUCUGGCUCAAGUCUGAAGGCAGUUGAACAGCCAGCCUCAAUAGGAUGAAAGAGCAAUCGCUUGCUGAGCCGUGACUCCCACGACUGAUGAGAGUUGACCAUGGAAGGCAUACACAGAGCUUCAGUUCAAGCUCAUGAGGAUGAACAAGUGGCUGUGUGGAGCUGAGCUGCCUGCUUGGAUUAAACCCUAACACAAAGCAAGUCGAGACCAGCCUCAAGAGCCUGUUAUGUCAGGUAAAGAAAACCUGAGGAAGGGAAUAUGAAUAUCCAUUCCACUUGAUUGAUCCUCCCUGUCCUGGAAGAAAGAUCCUACUUGGAGGAUGAAAAUAAACAUUCUGAGCACACUACCUUAACCUUUUUUUUUUUUUUUUUUUUUU